AUACGUAGUGGGCGAGCGUUGUCCGGAAUGAUUGGGCGUAAAGGGCGCGUAGGCGGCCCGGUAAGUCUGGAGUGAAAGUCCUGUUUUUAAGAUGGGAAUUGCUUUGGAUACUGUCGGGCUUGAGUGCAGGAGAGGUAAGUGGAAUUCCCAGUGUAGCGGUGAAAUGCGUAGAGAUUGGGAGGAACACCAGUGGCGAAGGCGACUUACUGGACUGUAACGGACGCUGAGGCGCGAAAGUGUGGGGAGCAAACAGGAUUAGAUACCCUGGUAGUCCACACUGUAAACGAUGAAUGCUAGGUGUAGGGGGUAUCGACCCCUUCUGUGCCGCAGUCAACACAAUAAGCAUUCCGCCUGGGGAGUACGGCCGCAAGGUUGAAACUCAAAUGAAUUGACGGGG
rnacentral:rRNA from 1 species